GACGAACGCUGGCGGCGUGCUUAACACAUGCAAGUCGAACGAAGUGGCGAACGGGUGAGUAACGCGUAAUCAACCUGCCCUUCAGAGGGGGACAACAGUUGGAAACGACUGCGAAUACCGCAUACUGAAGGGGGGGAUGGCGGCGGAUUAGCGAGUUGGAGGGGUAACGGCCCACCAAGGCGAUGAUCAGUAGCCGGUCUGAGAGGAUGAACGGCCACAUUGGGACUGAGACACGGCCCAGACUCCUACGGGAUGCAGCAGUGGGGAAUCUUCCGCAAUGGACGAAAGUCUGACGGAGCAACGCCGCGUGAGUGAUGACGGCCUUCGGGUUGUAAAGCUCUGUUAAUCGGGACGCGGUACCGGAAUAGAAAGCCACGGCUAACUACGUGCCAGCCGCCGCGGUAAUAC
rnacentral:rRNA from 1 species